rnacentral:misc_RNA from 1 species
GCAAACUUGGUCAUUUAGAGGAAGUAAAAGUCGUAACAAGGUUUCCGUAGGUGAACCUGCGGAAGGAUCAUUAUUGAAAAGCUAUUUCUUAGCUUCUCAUACACCCUUUGUUGACUCUACCACGUUGCUUCCACUGGACAGCGCGAGCCUUUUUUGCUGCCCAUGAUGGACAGUGAAAGAGGUGAGCCCUCUGGCUGCGGUAUAUUCAAUACCAUUGCUGGGGAGUUUGCUGGUGGGUAUACCAUUAAACCAAAACUAUUGCAGAGAAAACCAUUUGUCUGAAGAGAGAGCUUAUGAAUUAAACAAAACUUUCAACAACGGAUCUCUAGGCUCUUGCAUCGAUGAAGAACGCAGC